AUGGAAAAAGCAAGAGAGUUCCAGAAAAACAUCUAUUUCUGCUUUAUUGACUAUGCCAAAGCCUUUGACUGUGUGGAUCACAAUAAACUGUGGACAAUUCUGAAAGAGAUGGGAAUACCAGACCACCUAACUUGCCUCUUGAGAAAUCUGUAUGCAGAUCAGGAAGCAACAGUUAGAACUGGACAUGGAACAACAGACUGGUUCCAAAUAGGAAAAGGAGAACAUCAAGGGUGUAUAUUGUCACCCUGCUUAUUUAACUUCUAUGCAGAGUACAUCACGAGAAACGCUGGACUGGAAGAAACACAAGCUGGAAUCAAGAUUGCUGGGAGAAAUAUCAAUAACCUCAGAUAUACAGAUGACACCACUCUUAUGGCAGAAAGUGAAGAGGAACUGAAAAGCCUCUUGAUGAAAGUGGAAGAGGAGAGUAAAAAGCUUGGCUUAAAGCUCAACAUUCAGAAAACAAAGAUCAUGGCAUCCAGUCCCAUCACUUCAUGGGAAAUAGAUGGGGAAACAGUGGACACAGUGUCAGACUUUAUUUUGGGGGGCUCCAAAAUCACUGCAGAUGGUGACUGCAGCCAUGAAAUUAAAAGACGCUUACUCCUCGGAAGAAAAGUUAUGACCAACCUAGAUAGCAUAUUCAAAAGCAGAGAUAUUACUUUGCCAACUAAGAUCCAUCUAGUCAAGGCUAUGGUUUUUCCUGUGGUCAUGUAUGGACAUGAGAGUUGGACUGUGAAGAAGGCUGAGUGCCGAGGAAUUGAUGGUUUUGAACUGUGGUGUUGGAGAAGACUCUUGAGAGUUCCUUGGACUGCAAGGAGAUCCAACCAGUUCAUUCUGAAGGAGAUCAGCCCUGGGAUUUCUUUGGAAGGAAUGAUGCUAAAACUGAAACUCCAGUACUUUGGCCACCUCAUGCGAAGAGUUGACUCAUUGGAAAAGACUCUGAUGCUGGGAGGGACUGGGGGCAGGAGGAGAAGGGGACGACAGAGAAUGAGAUGGCUGGAUGGCAUCACUGACUCGAUGGACGUGAGUCUGAGUGAACUCCAGGAGUUGGUGAUGGACAGGGAGGCCUGGCGUGCUGCAAUUCAUGGGGUCUCAAAGAGUCGGACACGACUGAGUGACUGA
rnacentral:lncRNA from 1 species